rnacentral:rRNA from 1 species
CCUACGGGUGGCAGCAGUGAGGAAUAUUGGUCAAUGGACGAGAGUCUGAACCAGCCAAGUAGCGUGAAGGAUGAAGGUUCUAUGGAUUGUAAACUUCUUUUAUACGGGAAUAAACGAAUCCACGCGUGGAUUUUUGCAUGUACCGUAUGAAUAAGGAUCGGCUAACUCCGUGCCAGCAGCCGCGGUAAUACGGAGGAUCCGAGCGUUAUCCGGAUUUAUUGGGUUUAAAGGGAGCGUAGGUGGAUUAUUAAGUCAGUUGUGAAAGUUUGCGGCUCAACCGUAAAAUUGCAGUUGAAACUGGCAGUCUUGAGUACAGUAGAGGUGGGCGGAAUUCGUGGUGUAGCGGUGAAAUGCUUAGAUAUCACGAAGAACUCCGAUUGCGAAGGCAGCCUGCUAAGCUGCAACUGACAUUGAGGCUCGAAAG